GCAGGCAGUACUCGCAAUCCGCUCUCAAACAUUUGGGCCUGAACCUGUCAGGUGGACAAGAACCACGGGGCAGCGCGGGAGAAAGGAAGGUUGGAUCGGGUGCGUCCUAUUACUGCAACUUUGUCAUCCCCCACCCCGUCUUGGCCUAGGAGAUUUCCGGUCAUCCCCGGCACGAGACGGGCCGAACCUCCAUCCCACGUCUCCCAAUCUGUUUGAGCCCGGACUGUCUGUUGAUCGCGGGACUAUCGUCGCGUCAAAUGGGGCAUGCUGGCCCACCACGGCAGAGCCAGUUAACUCACAGGCCAGGCUAAUAGAGUCCACAGAUAUCCGUUACCGAGGCGCAACUGGGCAACCUGUCAUUUCCCGUUAGGACGGAGGAGUUUCCUACCCAGGAUCCCUGGGAUUCCACAGAGGGAACGUCAAACGGACUUCGGCGCGGUAGGGAAUUUGACAAAGCGGCCGAAAGCCCAAGGUCCUCGGUUCUGCAGAAGAUGAUGAUAAUGAUGAAAAUAAAAGUAAGAGAAAUAAUAGUAAUAAGCGGUUACUACGUUCCGGGCACUCAACUACGCACUGGGGCGGAUCCAAUCGAC
rnacentral:lncRNA from 1 species